rnacentral:rRNA from 1 species
UUGAACGCUGGCGGCAUGCCUAACACAUGCAAGUCGAACGGUAACGCGGAGAGCUUGCUCUCUGGCGACGAGUGGCGGACGGGUGAGUAAUACUUAGGAAUCUGCCCAGUAGUGGGGGACAACAUUCGGAAACGGAUGCUAAUACCGCAUACGCACUACGGUGGAAAGUGGGGGACCUUCGGGCCUCACGCUAUUGGAUGAGCCUAAGUCGGAUUAGCUUGUUGGUGAGGUAAUAGCUCACCAAGGCGACGAUCCGUAGCUGGUCUGAGAGGACGAUCAGCCACACUGGGACUGAGACACGGCCCAGACUCCUACGGGAGGCAGCAGUGGGGAAUAUUGGACAAUGGGCGCAAGCCUGAUCCAGCAAUGCCGCGUGUGUGACGAAGGCCUGCGGGUUGUAAAGCACUUUCAGUAGAGAAGAAAAGCCUAGGGUUAAUACCCCUGAGUCUUGACGUAACCUACAGAAGAAGCACCGGCUAACUCCGUG